GCUGGCGGCGUGCUUAACACAUGCAAGUCGAACGCGAACGGUUUCUUCGGAAACCUAGUAGAGUGGCGCACGGGUGAGUAACGCGUAAGUAAUCUGUCCCUGCAUUCGGGAUAACCCAUCGAAAGGUGGGCUAAUACCGGAUACGUUUUGAUAUGCGCGAGUCUAUCAAAAGAAAGAUGGCCUCUUUUUUAAGCUAUUGUGCGGGGA
rnacentral:rRNA from 1 species